GCCUUGGUGGUGUAAUGAUCAGCACACUUGAUUGCAUUCGAGAGGUCUGAGGUUCGAGUCCCAGUGAGGGCA
rnacentral:tRNA from 1 species